UGCAGUCGAACGGCAGCAUGAUCUAGCUUGCUAGAUUGAUGGCGAGUGGCGAACGGGUGAGUAAUACAUCGGAACGUGCCCUGUAGUGGGGGAUAACUAGUCGAAAGAUUAGCUAAUACCGCAUACGACCUGAGGGUGAAAGUGGGGGACCGCAAGGCCUCAUGCUAUAGGAGCGGCCGAUGUCUGAUUAGCUAGUUGGUGGGGUAAAGGCCCACCAAGGCGACGAUCAGUAGCUGGUCUGAGAGGACGAUCAGCCACACUGGGACUGAGACACGGCCCAGACUCCUACGGGAGGCAGCAGUGGGGAAUUUUGGACAAUGGGCGAAAGCCUGAUCCAGCAAUGCCGCGUGUGUGAAGAAGGCCUUCGGGUUGUAAAGCACUUUUGUCCGGAAAGAAAUGGCUCUGGUUAAUACCUGGGGUCGAUGACGGUACCGGAAGAAUAAGGACCGGCUAACUACGUGCCAGCAGCCGCGGUAAUACGUAGGGUCCAAGCGUUAAUCGGAAUUACUGGGCGUAAAGCGUGCGCAGGCGGUUGUGCAAGACCGAUGUGAAAUCCCCGAGCUUAACUUGGGAAUUGCAUUGGUGACUGCACGGCUAGAGUGUGUCAGAGGGGGGUAGAAUUCCACGUGUAGCAGUGAAAUGCGUAGAGAUGUGGAGGAAUACCGAUGGCGAAGGCAGCCCCCU
rnacentral:rRNA from 2 species